rnacentral:rRNA from 1 species
CCUACGGGAGGCAGCAGUGAGGAAUAUUGGUCAAUGGACGAGAGUCUGAACCAGCCAAGUAGCGUGAAGGAUGACUGCCCUAUGGGUUGUAAACUUCUUUUAUAUGGGAAUAAAGUGAGCCACGUGUGGCUUUUUGUAUGUACCAUACGAAUAAGGAUCGGCUAACUCCGUGCCAGCAGCCGCGGUAAUACGGAGGAUCCGAGCGUUAUCCGGAUUUAUUGGGUUUAAAGGGAGCGUAGGCGGAUUAUUAAGUCAGUUGUGAAAGUUUGCGGCUCAACCGUAAAAUUGCAGUUGAUACUGGUAGU